rnacentral:rRNA from 1 species
CGCGCCUACGGGACGCAGCAGUGGGGCAUAUUGCACAAUGGGGGAAACCCUGAUGCAGCGACGCCGCGUGAGUGAAGAAGUAUUUCGGUAUGUAAAGCUCUAUCGGCAGGGAAGAAAAAAGACGGUACCUGACUAAGAAGCCCCGGCUAACUACGUGCCAGCAGCCGCGGUAAUACGGAGGGGGCAAGCGUUAUCCGGAUUUACUGGGGGUAAAGGGGGCGGAGACGGGGCGGCAAGUCUGAAGGGAAAGGCAGGGGCUUAACACCUGGA